GAUGAACGCUGGCGGCGUGCCUAACACAUGCAAGUCGAGCGGCAGAGAGGGGUGCUUGCACCCUGUCGGCGAGCGGCGGACGGCUGAGUAACGCGUGGGAACGUGCCCCAAAGUGAGGAAUAACUGCCCGAAAGGGUAGCUAAUACCGCAUAUUAUCUUCGGAUCAAAGGAUUUAUCCGCUUUGGGAGCGGCUCGCGUCGGAUUAGGUAGUUGGUGAGGUAAUGGCUCACCAAGCCGACGAUCCGUAGCUGGUCUGAGAGGAUGGCCAGCCAGACUGGAACUGAGACACGGUCCAGACUCCUACGGGAGGCAGCAGUGAGGAAUCUUCCACAAUGGGCGAAAGCCUGAUGGAGCAACGCCGCGUGCAGGACGAAGGCCUUCGGGUUGUAAACUGCUUUUAUAAGUGAGGAAUAUGACGGUAACUUAUGAAUAAGGAUCGGCUAACUACGUG
rnacentral:rRNA from 1 species